rnacentral:rRNA from 1 species
CGGGCUUGAAAGUUAGUGACGAGAGUUGAAAGACUCUUUCCCUUCGGGGCACGAAACUAGGUGCUGCAUGGUUGUCGUCAGCUCGUGCCGUGAGGUGUCGGCUUAAGUGCCAUAACGAGCGCAACCCCUGUCCUUGGUUGCCAUCAGGUUAUGCUGGGCACUCUAGGGAUACUGCCGUCGUAAGGCGAGAGGAAGGUGGGGAUGACGUCAAAUCAGCACGGCCCUUACGUCCGGGGCGACACACGUGUUACAAUGGUAGGGACAAAGGGCAGCUACUUGGUGACAAGAUGCGAAUCUCAAAACCCUAUCACAGUUCGGAUUGGAGUCUGCAACUCGACUCCAUGAAGCUGGAUUCGCUAGUAAUCGCGCAUCAGCCAUGGCGCGGUGAAUACGUUCCCGGGCC